AGUGAACGCUGGCGGCGUGCUUAACACAUGCAAGUCGAACGCGAAAGUGGAGCAAUCCAUGAGUAGAGUGGCGAACGGGUGAGUAAUAUGUGGGUAAUCUAGCUUUCAGAGGGGGAUAACCCGGGGAAACCUGGGCUAAAACCGCGUACGAUUUUCGGGUUUACGGACCUGGGAAUGAAAACAUGGCCUCUAUUUAUAAGCUAUGGCUGAAAGAUGAGCCCACACCCUAUCACGCUUGUUGGUGAGGUAAAGGCUCACCAAGGCGACGACGGGUAGCCGGCCUGAGAGGGUGUCCGGCCACACUGGAACUGAGACACGGUCCAGACUCCUACGGGAGGCAGCAGUGGGGAAUUUUUCGCAAUGGGCGCAAGCCUGACGAAGCAACGCCGCGUAGAGGAUGAAGGCCCUCGCGGUCGUAAACUCUUGUCUAGCGGGACGAAACUCUCAUACGGAAAUACUGUAUGGGACUGACUGUACCGCUGGAGGAAGCUCCGGCCAACUCCGUGCCCAGCA
rnacentral:rRNA from 1 species